rnacentral:rRNA from 1 species
ACAGGGAUUGCCCUAGUAACGGCGAGUGAAGCGGCAACAGCUCAAAUUUGAAAGCUGGCUCCGGCCCGCAUUGUAAUUUGCAGAGGAUGCUUCUGGCGAGGUGCCUUCCGAGUUCCCUGGAACGGGACGCCAUAGAGGGUGAGAGCCCCGUAUGGAAGGACACCAGACCUGUGUGAAGCUCCUUCAACGAGUCGAGUAGUUUGGGAAUGCUGCUCUAAAUGGGAGGUAAAUCUCUUCUAAAGCUAAAUACCGGCCAGAGACCGAUAGCGCACAAGUAGAGUGAUCGAAAGAUGAAAAGCACCUUGAAAAGGGGGUUAAACAGUACGUGAAAUUGUUGAAAGGGAAGCGCUUGUGACCAGACUUGCGCCGGGCGGCUCAUCAGGGGUUCUCCCCUGUGCACUCCGCCCGGCUCAGGCCAGCAUCGGUUCUCGUGGGAGGAUAAGAACGGUGGGAACGUGGCCCCCCUCCGGGGGGGUGUUAUAGCCCACCGUACGAUACUCUCGUGGGGACCGAGGUUCGCGCUCCGCAAGGAUGCUGGCGUAAUGGUCAUCAGCGACCCGUCUUGAAACACGGACCAAGGAGUCGUCCAUUAGAGCGAGCGUUUGGGUGUAAAACCCGCACGCGUAAUGAAAGUGAACGCAGGUGAGAGCUUCGGCGCAUCAUCGACCGAUCCUGAUGUCUUCGGAUGGAUUUGAGUAAGAGUUUUAACGGACGGACCCGAAAGACAGUGAACUAUGCUUGUAUAGGGUGAAGCCAGAGGAAACUCUGGUGGAGGCUCGCAGCGGUUCUGACGUGCAAAUCGAUCGUCAAAUAUGAGCAUGGGGGCGAAAGACUAAUCGAA